rnacentral:rRNA from 1 species
ACGCUCGACACCUACGCGAGGCAGCAGUGAGGAAUAUUGGUCAAUGGGCGCAGGCCUGAACCAGCCAAGUAGCGUGAAGGAUGACUGCCCUAUGGGUUGUAAACUUCUUUUAUAUGGGAAUAAAGUUUUCCACGUGUGGAAUUUUGUAUGUACCAUAUGAAUAAGGAUCGGCUAACUCCGUGCUAGCAGCCGCGGUAAUCUGAGCGGGCUGGCAAGGC